UACAGAGGUCUCAAGCGUUGUUCGGAUUCAUUGGGCGUAAAGCGCACGUAGGCGGCUUGUUAAGUCAGGGGUGAAAUCCUGGAGCUCAACUCCAGAACUGCCUUUGAUACUGGCAAGCUUGGAGUCCGGGAGAGGUGAGUGGAACUGCGAGUGUAGAGGUGAAAUUCGUAGAUAUUCGCAAGAACACCAGUGGCGAAGGCGGCUCACUGGCCCGGUACUGACGCUGAGGUGCGAAAGCGUGGGGAGCAAACAGG
rnacentral:rRNA from 1 species